UACGUAGGGGGCGAGCGUUAUCCGGAAUUACUGGGCGUAAAGCGCACGCAGGCGGUUCGCCAAGUUUGGAGUGACAGUUGUCGGCUCAACCGACAAAGGACUUCAAAAACUGGUGAACUUGAGGACGAGAGAGGAACAUGGAACUCCAGGUGCAGUAGUGAAAUGCGUAGAUAUCUGGAAGAACACCAAUGGCGAAGGCAAUGUUCUGGCUCGUUUCUGACGCUCAGGUGCGAAAGCCAGGGGAGCGAACGGG
rnacentral:rRNA from 1 species